rnacentral:rRNA from 1 species
UUCGGGGAAGUUCCGAGACAGGUGCUGCAUGGCUGUCGUCAGCUCGUGCCGUGAGGUGUUGGGUAAGUCCCGCAACGAGCGCAACCCUAUUGCCAGUUGCUACCAGGUAAUGCUGGGCACUCUGGUGAGACUGCCCCGGUUAACGGGGAGGAAGGUGGGGACGACGUCAAGUCAUCAUGGCCCUUACGCCUAGGGCUACACACGUACUACAAUGGCGCAUACAAAGGGCAGCGAUACCGCGAGGUGGAGCCAAUCCCAAAAAGUGCGUCCCAGUCCGGAUUGCAGUCUGCAACUCGACUGCAUGAAGUUGGAAUCGCUAGUAAUUCGAGAUCAGCAUGCUCGGGUGAAUGCGUUCCCGGGCCUU